rnacentral:rRNA from 1 species
GACGAACGCUGGCGGCGUGCUUAACACAUGCAAGUCGAACGAUGAAGCUAGAGCUUGCUCUGGUGGAUUAGUGGCGAACGGGUGAGUAACACGUGAGUAACCUGCCCCGAACUCUGGGAUAACUGCUGGAAACGGUAGCUAAUACCGGAUAUGACCAAUGAAGGCAUCUUCUGUUGGUGGAAAGAAUUUCGGUUCGGGAUGGACUCGCGGCCUAUCAGCUUGUUGGUGAGGUAACGGCUCACCAAGGCGACGACGGGUAGCCGGCCUGAGAGGGUGAUCGGCCACACUGGGACUGAGACACGGCCCAGACUCCUACGGGAGGCAGCAGUGGGGAAUAUUGCACAAUGGGCGCAAGCCUGAUGCAGCGACGCCGCGUGAGGGAUGAAGGUCUUCGGAUUGUAAACCUCUUUCAGUAGGGACGAAGCGAAAGUGACGGUACCUAAAGAAGAAGCACCGGCUAACUACGUGCCAGCCGCCGCCGUAA